rnacentral:rRNA from 1 species
AGGGUGUAAACGCUGCAGACUUGGUGUUGGAAGUCCUUUGGGGGCAUUCAGUGCCGGAGAGAAGUUGUUAAGUCUGCUACUUGGGGAGUACGUCCGCAAGGAUGAAACUUAAAGGAAUUGGCGGGGGAGCACAACAACGGGUGGAGCCUGCGGUUUAAUUGGACUCAACGCCGGACAACUCACCGGGGACGACAGCAAUAUGUAGGCCAGGCUGAAGACCUUGCCUGAAUCGCUGAGAGGUGGUGCAUGGCGUGUGACGUCU